rnacentral:rRNA from 1 species
GUGUCAGCAGCCGCGGUAAUACGUAGGGUGCGAGCGUUAAUCGGAAUUACUGGGCGUAAAGCGUGCGCAGGCGGUUCGCUGUGUCCUGUGUGAAAGCCCCGGGCUUAACCUGGGAAUGGCAUGGGAAACUGGCGAGCUUGAGUGCGGCAGAGGGGGGUGGAAUUCCGCGUGUAGCAGUGAAAUGCGUAGAGAUGCGGAGGAACACCGAUGGCGAAGGCAGCCCCCUGGGUCGACACUGACGCUCAGGCACGAAAGCGUGGGGAGCAAACAGGAUUAGAAACCCGGGUAGUCC